GGGAGUUUGGCCGAGUGGUUAAGGCGUCAGGUUUAGGCCCUGAUAUCUUCGGAUGCGCGGGUUCGAAUCCCUCAGCUCUCA